rnacentral:lncRNA from 1 species
CUGUAGCAAAUUGCUGGGAGAGAGCAUCCAUUAAGUGCCUUCGAAACUGAAUACGAGUUAGUUGUGCCAAGAAGGACCAUGAAAUCGAGGAUUCUGGAUCAAAAAAAGCCUUGCUGAGGUUCCAUUUGAUAAUUCUUUUCAUGAUGCAAUAAAAGGAGCAGCAGUGAUUCAGACUUGCUGCCUGUUUCUCCAAAGUGGUGCUACUGUUUGUCUCCAGCUGUGCUCUAGGAAUACAAAUCAAGCCAGUGCUUCAGCAUGGCAUAAGAAAUGUUCUGGUAGCUAAGGAGCCCAUAUUGAGG